CACGUAGGGCGCAAGCGUUGUCCGGAAUUAUUGGGCGUAAAGAGCUCGUAGGCGGUCUGUUGCGUCCGCUGUGAAAACUCGGGGCUUAACCCCGAGCCUGCAGUGGAUACGGGCAGACUAGAGGUAGGUAGGGGAGAAUGGAAUUCCCGGUGUAGCGGUGAAAUGCGUAGAUAUCGGGAGGAAUACCUAUGGCGAAAGCAGGUUUCUGGGCCAUCACUGACGCUGAGCUGCGAAAGCUAGGGGAGCAAACAGG
rnacentral:rRNA from 1 species